CGAGGGGGGGACGGAUGCGCGCGCACCGGGUCCUCGCCGCCGAUGCCGCCAUUUUGUUUCCUCGGCACAAUGGGAGAGAGUAACGGCCGAGCGCGGGAGCGAGGCUGGCGAGAGGGGCGGUUUUAAGACGCCAUUAUCACGUGAUGCGGAGCGAAGGGCGGAGCCUCCUGCACCUUCCAGGCCGCCAUCUCACAACCGUCGCCAUGAGUACGUUGGCGGAAACGACUCUGAGAGGCUCUCCAGUUAGCGUCCUGCUAGUGGCCGGAUCUCGGUCGAGGAGGUGUGGCCUCGAAAGGAGACCGCCCCACGGCGCUUCCAUCCCACUCCUCUCAUCACCCGCUAUAGGUGAAGACCCGAGGUGCCUGUACAAGGAACGGCCGGGCCUGGAGCCUCCGAAGGUUAGAGCCGAUCUGGUCUGAUCUUCCAGCCUGUUUCACAGAUGGCGAAACUGAGGCACAGUCAAGAAGGAGACCUGACACGAGGAUUCACGGCGCCUUCGUGGGAGAACCGGUGCUGCGACUCAGACGCUCGGCUAACAGCUUGGGUCUCAUUACUAAAGGUCCUAUGGACCGAGCACCGUUUCUUUGCAAGCCUCGUGUCGGUGAAUGCUCCCGGACGCCUUGUGAGAUCCCCAACGUAUACAACUUGUGCCUAAACUAAGCCCCGCGCCCCUCCAGUGUCAGGAUUUGGCUGGCGUUCGACAGACGUUGCUAGGCAAGUUGGCAGGUGCGAGGUUGAGAUUCAGACGCUGCCGAGAUCCGGAACAAGGAGUUGUUGAAAAGGUUUUCUACCUGAAGGAGAUGAGAAGUCGUUCAAAACUUGCAGCCUACUAUCGGGUCUUCCUAGCAAAAACGUAGGGACGGUGCAGCUAAUUUGUAAAGGAUGCAAGAUCCAGGGUCUGCCCUAGGUUUGAGUCCCCUGGCCAAGGACUAAGCCUCCGUUUCCUUAUCUACAAAAUGAUUAUUUUUUUAAAAAGCACUUGACAAAAUUAUUUGUGCAGAACAAGUGUCCCCAAUUGAUAGCUAUUAUUUAAAAAGUAAGGUGUACAAAUAUUACUGAAAUGGGGGCAUGCUGUACCUGCAUUUCUUUUUUAUUUACACUAGUUAGGAUUUUGAACCGAUCAUCUAUUCACGUGAUAUAAAAGGGUGUGAGAAAAGUCUUUUCCUCCCCCAGACACUCUCCUCGUUGGCAGCCAUUGUAAAGUUUUUUGUCUCUCCAGAGAUGUUUUACUCCCAGAGAUGCUUAAUUGUAUUUUUAUUGCUGUUUUUCACAUAAAUGAUAGACAUUCUG